rnacentral:rRNA from 1 species
CCUACGGGGGGCACCAUUGGGGAAUAUUGCACAAUGGGCGCAAGCCUGAUGCAGCCAUGCCGCGUGUGUGAAGAAGGCCUUCGGGUUGUAAAGCACUUUCAGCGAGGAGGAAAGGUUAAGUGUUAAUAGCGCUUAGCUGUGACGUUACUCGCAGAAGAAGCACCGGCUAACUUCGUGCCAGCAGCCGCGGUAAUACGAGGGGUGCAAGCGUUAAUCGGAAUUACUGGGCGUAAAGCGUACGCAGGCGGUUUGUUAAGCGAGAUGUGAAAGCCCCGGGCUCAACCUGGGAACUGCAUUUCGAACUGGCAAACUAGAGUCUUGUAGAGGGGGGUAGAAUUUCAGGUGUAGCGGUGAAAUGCGUAGAGAUCUGAAGGAAUACCGGUGGCGAAGGCGGCCCCCUGGACAAAGACUGACGCUCAGGUACGAAAGCGUGGGGAGCA